GAGUGAACGCUGGCGGUAGGCCUAACACAUGCAAGUCGAACGGCAGCCCAGUAAGAGCUUGCUCUUACGGGUGGCGAGUGGCGGACGGGUGAGGAAUACAUCGGAAUCUACUUUUUCGUGGGGGAUAACGAAGGGAAACUUACGCUAAUACCGCAUACGACCUACGGGUGAAAGCAGGGGAUCUUCGGACCUUGCGCGAUUGAAUGAGCCGAUGUCGGAUUAGCUAGUUGGCGGGGUAAAGGCCCACCAAGGCGACGAUCCGUAGCUGGUCUGGGAGGAUGAUCAGCCACACUGGAACUGAGACACGGUCCAGACUCCUACGGGAGGCAGCAGUGGGGAAUAUUGGACAAUGGGCGCAAGCCUGAUCCAGCCAUACCGCGUGGGUGAAGAAGGCCUUCGGGUUGUAAAGCCCUUUUGUUGGGAAAGAAAAGCAGCAGGUUAAUACCCCGCUGUUCUGACGGUACCCAAAGAAUAAGCACCGGCUAACUUCGUG
rnacentral:rRNA from 1 species